UUAGCCCUAAACACAAAUAAUUACAGAAACAAAAUUAUUCGCCAGAGUACUACCGGCAACGGCCCGAAACUCAAAGGACUUGGCGGUGCUUUAUACCCUUCUAGAGGAGCCUGUUCUAUAAUCGAUAAACCCCGAUAAACCUCACCAAUCCUUGCUAAUACAGUCUAUAUACCGCCAUCUUCAGCAAACCCUAAAAAGGAACAAAAGUAAGCUCAAUCACAACACAUAAAGACGUUAGGUCAAGGUGUAACCCAUGGAAUGGGAAGAAAUGGGCUACAUUUUCUACCUUAAGAAAAUUAAUACGAAAGCCAUUAUGAAAUUAAUGACCAAAGGAGGAUUUAGUAGUAA
rnacentral:rRNA from 1 species